GAUGAACGCUGGCGGCGUGCCUAAUACAUGCAAGUCGAACGAACGGACGAGAAGCUUGCUUCUCUGAUGUUAGCGGCGGACGGGUGAGUAACACGUGGAUAACCUACCUAUAAGACUGGGAUAACUUCGGGAAACCGGAGCUAAUACCGGAUAAUAUUUUGAACCGCAUGGUUCAAAAGUGAAAGACGGUCUUGCUGUCACUUAUAGAUGGAUCCGCGCUGCAUUAGCUAGUUGGUAAGGUAACGGCUUACCAAGGCAACGAUGCAUAGCCGACCUGAGAGGGUGAUCGGCCACACUGGAACUGAGACACGGUCCAGACUCCUACGGGAGGCAGCAGUAGGGAAUCUUCCGCAAUGGGCGAAAGCCUGACGGAGCAACGCCGCGUGAGUGAUGAAGGUCUUCGGAUCGUAAAACUCUGUUAUUAGGGAAGAACAUAUGUGUAAGUAACUGUGCACAUCUUGACGGUACCUAAUCAGAAAGCCACGGCUAACUACGUG
rnacentral:rRNA from 1 species